UGACACAUAAAAAUUCAGCCCAAAUCGAACAGCCCAGAGAAUAAAACCCAAUGGGAGGAUCCCCAAAUCAGAUAGCCCAAAGAACGAAAUCCAAUUGAACGAAUCAAGGUGAAUGCCCAAAUAAGGGGCCCAAUAGUGCGGUAACGCCAUCGUCCAAGUUUGCAAGUCGCUCAGAGUCUGAACGAAUAGAGUGGCAUACGGUCAUCCAAAGUCUCGCCCAAAUGUUCAAGUCGCCCAAGGUAUCAACAAACAUAACGCAUUAUGAUGCAGUUAUUGAGGCAGUUGCUAAAGUAACUUUAUCACGUUCCACGACUCAAGGGGUUCAAUCCAAAGCGGUUGAACGAUGCAAGAUAAUGGUAGCAGUUAAAAGGACAGUUGCAUGACAAAAUGGCCACUACAAAGAAAGUGGGUAGUUAUAGGGCGAUCAAGCAGUUUUUUAGAGCAGUUAAUCACAAAGGGAUCGCCUAUGAAGUAUAAAAGAGAGAAAGAACUUAGAAGAAAGGACCGAAUCCAAAACUCUCGAACAGAGAAUAUGUAAUUUUCAUUCCUUUAGCUUUUAGACUUAAACAUUUUCUUUUCUGUAACUCGUGUGCUUGCGCCCCUUGGAGGCACGUUGUUUUCCGUUUCCAAUUGUAAAGUUCAUCGCCAAUAAAAAGAACACCCCUUUUUGGAACUUUGUCUCAAGAGGUUUCGUCCCUUACACAAUCGUUUGAUCCUCUUUAAUUGUUAGCGAAUUAACCCGCGCGAAACAGUUUGAUCUGCUUAAAUAAUAAUUUAUGAUUUGACAAACAUGCAUUACAUUAUCUAAAAGAUAUUUAUGUAGGAUUUGUUCAUUGCCUACCAAUUUUUCUGUGCUCGUUUUCUCUCUCUUUCUUCUAUUAUAACUGACUGGAUCGACAUAUUAAAGAUGGAGACGUUAACCACUGCUUCUCCCUCGUUUCUUGCAGUUGAAAAAAUUUCGUGCUAAUACUCGAGUAUGGAGCGGCGCAAUGGAAACGUCGCUCACUUGACAAUGCUGCAUGGAAUUUCAAGUUAAACCGAUGAAUGUUAUUAACUACAGAAAACCAUGGAUAUUGGCUUUGCUAUAAUGACUCAAUCUCUUCUUGUGCAACACUUAGUUAUGUGUAGUUAUUCCGAUCUAGGUAAAAUGAUACCCCAUAGUUGUGUUUCCUUUAAUUAUCUUGACAUGGGACCCAUUAAAUAUUUCUUUUUUAUGCUUCUUUAGUGUUUUUAAAAUAAUAAUAAUAAUGUUAUUUUAUUUAACAACUUGUUAUUUGAGGCAUUAAUUUCUUUUAAUUAUGUUGCUUCAAAUAACAAAAUACCACAUACGACGAUUACUGUAGUCACCG
rnacentral:lncRNA from 1 species